GCGGGAGUAGCUCAGUGGUAGAGCAUUAGCUUCCCAAGCUAAGGGCCGCGAGUUCGAUCCUCGUUUCCCGCU
rnacentral:tRNA from 1 species